rnacentral:misc_RNA from 1 species
AAAAAAAAAAAAAAAAAACUAAAACUCCAACAAACUUUAGGUAUAAGUAUGCUGCUGUUUAAAACAAAAAUUUGUUUGCAUCAACUAUGACAUCUUUGCCUUACUUGAAUUGUGUAAAACAGCAUCUCUGUUGUAAUGCAGAGGGUUCUGGUAAUUGGGUAUGUUUUAUCAUAUUGAGUUAUGGUUACUGAAUUAUCACUUAAAUUGAAUCCAUUCCAUGGUGAAGCAGCUUAUGGCUCUGCAUUGAUGUAUUGCACCUGGUAAUUAAACUGUAAAGGCAUGGGUAAAAUAACUGAAGUACAUGACAGCCUUUCUUUUAUUUUAUUAUUUUUUUUUUAUACAUACAUUAGAAUGACUUUGGAAAAAUGGGCAAGUAUUGGAAUUUAUAUUGUCAAUUUGAAAGAUA